GAUGAAGAACGCAGCGAACUGCGAUACUUGGUGUGAAUUGCAGAAUCCCGUGAACCAUCGAGUCUUUGAACGCAAGUUGCGCCCGAAGCCAUUAGGCCGAGGGCACGUCUGCCUGGGCGUCACGCAUCGCGUCGCCCCCCACAAUUCUCCGUAAAGGGAACAUGUGUUUUGGGGGCGGAUAUUGGUCUCCCGUGCUCAUGGCGUGGUUGGCCGAAAUAGGAGUCCUUUCGAUGGACGCACGAACUAGUGGUGGUCGUAAAAACCCUCGUCUUUUGUUUCGUGCUGUUGGUCGCAAGGUAAACUCUUUAAAAACCCCAAUGUGUCGUCUCUUGACGACGCUUCGACCGCGACCCCAGGUCAGGCGGGACUACCCGCUGAGUUUAAGCAUAUCAAUAAGCGGAGGA
rnacentral:misc_RNA from 1 species